UCCACAGAGUGAAGAUUUCCUGUCGAUUUCAAUUUUCCAGAGCAGACUCAGAAACAAACAAAGCAAAGGUGGCUGCAAUACGUUUAUACACUGAACCCAUUCACAGAAGUACCCUGCGUAGCUUCCGUACUAGUCUCUUUAAACAACCAUCAAAUACACUGACUAUGGGUAAGUACCUCACACAGCUUGGCUUUCAAAAGCAGACAAAUAAUUUUAAAAUAACUAAAUUACUAGAUAAUUCAUAUGCAUAGGUUGGGAGUCAUCCAGGUUGUGGUUGUCCUACCUACUUAUGCACAUCUGGACUUCUUUUUGGCUCUAGGACAUGUUUGACCUCUUAAUACAGAGAGUUCCACAGUACUAACCCCCAAGUGGCGAGUUUAUAAUAUUUAUUAUCACCAAAAACUCAAAAUUAAUCAAGAUGUGAAUGAUUGUGACACUGCCUAGGGAGGGAUUUCAGGACCUUACAGGUACCUGACAAGUGAUUUUAUAGACCACCUCCACUGUUUAGAUAAAUGGCGUCCUUCCCUCCUCUCUUUCAAGAAUGUAAACAUUGUUGUGUCUUGGUAUGAUAUAUGGUGUGAUUUCUCCUGGGUGGAGUCUUCUCAUAAUUACUUGUGGGAUUAUUUUUUUUUUAGGAGAUAAGGCAGAGUUAGGUCUUUUAGCUAAAAAACACCCUUCUCCAGUUGGGUAAGUUUUUUUUUUUUAACCUACUUGUCCUGAAUACCUUCUAGGUUAGAACUAACUUGUUUCUGUCCGGUUGGCUUAGAAGUUGUCAUUAUUUGCUCUUGACUGUAGUGUUUGGAAUUUCAUUGUGUAUCAAUCCAUGCUCUUUUUGUGUUUUAUUAAACUUGCCUUUUCAGCAAACUCGAAAACUUCCUCUAGUAUCUGUUCUGCUCUAUGGCCUUUGACAGUGAAGGCACAGUAUAAGCAAAUAACUCCAGACGAACAACCGAACCCCCUAGACAGAAACAAAUUGACUCUACGCUAGUGGACAUUCAGGGUAAGUGGGUGAAUAAUCUAUAAGAUACAGAUUUUGCCCAACUGGACACAAUGUCUUAGCCAAAGGGCUUAACUAUGUCGUAUUUCUACAACAGUUUCCAGUGCUGGACUUCAUUGCAGCCACAAACUCAGCUAAAAGGAACUACAACCUAGCAGAGGCAGAAGCAGAACAACUCAGAAUGAGGUUUCAGUGGUGCUUUCUAGUCCAAAAAUACUUACUUUCAUUCUUACAACCUUGUAAAAGGAGGCAGUAAGAUCAUUAAGUAAAAAUUCAGCAAAAAAAUAAAAUCAGCAUCCUGCCAGCAGAUAAGGGGAGGUGGUACUCAUCACUGCAAGUUACCAUACUAAUAUAACUACACUGCUCAGGGUCAAGGCCCAGAACCAGUUACAAGAAGGCCAUAGAUUGACUGCAAGAGUUAGAAAAGGAGACAACCAUCAACUGGCAAUAUUAUUACCAUCUUUACAGUAGAAAAGCAACACUGCUGGCUCAUAGGGAAUCCAAAGUCUACUUUGGAUUGUUGGGUUCUCUGUUCUGAAGAUACACAACGAGCAAGAACCACUUAGAUCCAUAAUCAGCAACAUCAAUCACCUGUAAGACUGCAAAACACCGCCAUCAUCUUAGCAUCUCUGGUUGAAAAUGCUUCAACUCAUAUCCAAAACUGCACUGAGUUUGCCAUCAAAGUUCAGAAAUUUAAAUUGGCCCCAGAUGAAAUCAUCACUCGAUGCACCUCACUUUUCACAUGUAUACCUGCAGCUAAUAAUAACUACCAAGACAGAAGUAAAAGACAAGUAGAAACUAGGAAGCACUUGAAACCAGAGACAAUCCCAACAGGGCCUUCAAUUUGUAAACAAAAGAGUUCUAGUACAACAUUCAACAGGGAAGGGAAGAAGAACAGUAGGAACAACAUUGUCAUCCUGUAUGUGGCUGGAGUGUCACAGAAACAGAAAAUCCUGGUGCACUUAAGAUUUAGCAAUAUUCUCAGACUACAGGUGGUUCACCCUAAGGGUAAAACAGUCAAACUCAAGCUGAGCAGCAUUAUAUAUGCAGUCCAAUACAGCGAGGAGUACACAGAACUAUACACAAGGGAAACAAAACAACCAUCUCCAGGGAGACAUAUUACUUAUCAGGUACUUAUAAUGCAGUAUUGACAACCCCUUCUAGGCAGUACUCCUGUCCACAGCUCAAGUCAUGUCAAUAAUGAAAUACAUGUGCCUAAUUAAAUACUUGUGACUCCCUCCCAGUCAGUUAGAACUUAGUUUCUUUAACCCUCAAGCGACCAAGCUAUUUUAGCGACUAAAAUGACUGACUGGGGUCAUUUAUGAUCCCACUAUAUUUUACACAGGAAUGUCUACUUUAGUGCCUCUUUUUGUGCUUUCUUAUCUAUUCCACUCCACUGCAUUUUAAGAUGGAUAUUCUAAAAUAACCUUCUUUUAUUAUUCAUGGAUUUUAAUCAUUUUGACUCAGAGCUAAAGUAAAACCAUAUGAACAAUAUGAUGCAUUGUAAGAACGCAAUAACAUUUAUUUAGACACGCUUUGUCUGCCACUUCUUUUAAAACUUUAUUCCUUUUAUUUCCUCAAUAGUAAAUCAAAAGUACAUAAAAACAAAAUCUACACAAACAUCCUGUCUGUAUGUGUACAAUGUAACAUGCAGAGAAGUAUUUAGAUUAGGGGCGGCUGUGGCUCAGGUGGCAGAGUAGUUCGUCCAAAGCAAGACACUUUGCCCACCUUACCUCCAGUGCUGCCACUUACACUGGUGUAUGAAUGUGUAUGCUGUGUAAUGUUGGUGGUGGUCAGAGAGGUUGUAGGAGUGGAUUGGCUGCCAGUCAGUCUGCCCCAGGGUAGCUGUGGCUAAAAAUGUAGGUCUACCAACUAUAGUGCACUGCAAAACACUGAAAUAUAGCGAUUAGAGGUAGAAAUAAAUAAAUAAAACUAAGGCCUACAAUAGUGAAAAACCUAUACAUCUUUCUGGGGUCAUAAGUGACCCCAGACAAGUUUCCAUUAUCCUUGUCACACCAGUUGGCCGAUCUCUACAAAAAACUAUGAGCAGCUGUAGGACAAGACGAUUGACAAAUUCAUGGUAGGAAACAUUUUUCGGAUAAAAGAUAUAAAAACGGCAAAUAUAAUUAUAUGGCUGGGGUCAUAAAUGACCCCACUCGGUCGCUUGGGGGUUAAUGAAACGUCUUUAAGAACCAAAAAAGAAAUCAAGUUACCUUGAAGCAUUUAUUAUAGUCAAAAUAACUGACACGCUAAAUCAAUACAUCGGCUAAUGAUUACAGCACUGAAGAUAAAGGAUACAUGCUGUUUUUCACUUUUAUUAGCUCACGUAAAAUUCAUUUUGCAGUGCCGGUAUACAUACACACAUGCCGUUUAAUUAGUCUACUAUUUUCAGUUGAUCCAAUCCUUGUCUAUGCAAAGUACUGUUGCAGUCCUAUUUCUCAAAUGUUUAGCAUUUUGCUCACAAAACAAAAGGGGAAUCUGGAGUUCACACCAAACCUCUUUUUUUAUCAGUCUCAUAUCAGUGUGUUCAGUACAGAGCUGGAAUCAGUCUGUGCUAAGCUUAGCAGAGCAUAAAGACUGGAAACAGGAGGACGAUAUAUCAUUUCAACGUCGGCAUCACAAUGUAAAGUGAGGCAAAUUAACUCAAACACAGCAUGCUCAAACUUUUUGCUGCUUGAUACAAAAAGAGUAAAUUCACAGUUCUCAUUUUCCAUGACUAAUCUCCACGAGAAGUCUGUCUGAGAGAACAUAAUUUACUCUGAUUUAAGGGUUCUUGAAUACACUCAGUUUUUUCUUAUAUUUUUUUCUAAGAGACACAGAUUUUGUUGCCAAGCAGGCUCCAGAUCUGAACAGCAAAAUAAGGGAGAAACAAGAGAGAAACACUGAAAAAGAAGAUCUGGUUGCAAAAUGUAAUGCAACACUAAUGUAUGAAGGAAAAUAGAAAGGACAAUGUUGUUGCCAUUGCAUAAGGCAAACAAACUAAUUAGUUUGACCAUUUUAAUAAUCAGCACAAAGCUCUCUAUGACGAGCGUAAAGUCAGAUCUGAAUAUGAUCCAAAGCGAAAAAUGUUUUGGAUGUCUCUCUUUGUGUUAGACCCUAUGAGAAAGAUUCCCAACUGCUUUUUUUAAAGCAUUUGUUUUAUGCAGAUGCACUACCUUACAAAGUUACUCCAGUCACUAUAGAAUAGAUAAUGAUUUUCAAAUAGAGAUGAUCAAGUCGUCUGUGGAAAAUCAGUGUACUUUUUCUUAUUGCACUAUAUACCAUAGAACAACUAUAUAUCACAAUGUCAGUUUAUUCCAGUAUCGGGCAGCCCUACUUAACUGGAUAAAUGGCAGGCAUAAAAGGUUGCCACAUGUAAUGUUCCACAUUAAUUCUGUGAUAAUAUUGGACACUAUAGCUGGUCUACCAUUAUGAACAUUAUGUAUUUAAUAAGGUAUGUUUAGUAAUGUUCUGUGGAUAAUACCAUGUGAAAGAGAGUGUUUUUGUUCCUUCUUAUGUUCGCACAGUGCUUGCUCAGAGAAUCAAAACAAACUUUGAAUUUGUCGGGUUUCAUUGUUCAAAAUUUGUAAGGUCUUACUAUGUGAAGUGCUAUUAGAUGAUGACAUAUGUUGAUGCUGUAUAGACUGAAUUGAAGUUAAGUUGAAUUAUAUUGACAGAUGAGCAUUUGGACCUUGAAGAUGUCAAAGUUCAUCCAAUUGGCCCAAGUUUCUCUAUCAGACAUCGACUUUAUCUCCUAGCAACUUGGACAUUUCAUCUUUCUAUGUUGCUUGUAACGUUAGUGCGCGUUCACACAGCUGUUAGCAUGGCUGUAGAGUCUUUUGCUUUUGGUGGAACUAGGCUAACAUGUUCCCUUGUUUCCAGUCUUUAUGCUAAGCUAAGUUAACCACGUUCUAAUUCAAGCUUCUGAAAAACACAGACAUGAGACAAUACACGUUUUUCCAAAAUGCCUACAUUUUGUUGCUAUAAUCCUCAGGUUUCCUGCUGAACCAGACUGUGUCCUACCUGGGACAGGCUGAGGUCAGGGUCUCCCAGCGGCAGGCCCUGGUGUCCGGGGGUGUGGAGGUGAGGCUCAGCCCGGCCAUUGGGGAUGAAGGAACUGUACAUCUUCGGCGUGGAAACGUCCAGUUUGUCCUCCUGGAAGAAGACAAAAGCAGAGGACAGAGAACAGGAAUGAGAGCUUUGAUCAGUUUGACUUUCUGUGGAUUAAAAAAUCAGAGUGAAUGUAAGAAUACAGAACAACAGGAUUAGCAAUUUUUAAUCUUUAAAGCAAAAAAUGAGGUGAACUGUGAGGAAAAUCGUCUUCGGUGGGUGUUUCAGGGUGAUUUUCAAUUAUUCCACACUUAGUAAUGAGGAGCUUAUAUAAAUAUACAUUUCAGCGGAGAGGUCAGAGGUCAGCAGCAGCUCAGCGAUCCAGUUUAUUGCUCAAGGACACUUGGAAAAGGGAUAGAGUUUAUAAUGAAACAGUCGAUUGUAAUGACUGAAUAAAAGACUGAAGUGAAGCUUAUUAUGUCUCCCCCCAGGGUGAGAAGGAGGUGGGAGGAAAGGAUGAAUAUUAACAUUGCUGCUCAGAAUUCAACUGGGUAUGUCGCUGCCUCUCAGCUUGUUCCUUGACAACAAAAUUUGACAGAUUCUGCUGCAAAUGCAUGUACAAUGUAGCAGCACUUAUGUGUUCAGUCACCUACAGACUCUUUUCCCCACCAAACAUCAUCCACGGGACUUAAACUGAUCUGUUCAUCAGCAUUAGCGUCACAUUUCCAAGUUUGAAGAUUAUUGCUUGUAUUAUCUGGCUCAGCAGAUGCAUAGAGUUAAAAAAGGUAAUAAAUCUUAAAUGUAAACACAAUAAAAAGAAUAUAAAUUUCCAAAAUAUUCGGCACCAAAAAAUGUCCUAUCACAUUUUCAGAGAUCUUUUCAGAAAUAGUGCACUUUGUUUUUAGGUACUUACUGGUACUCUACAAACACUGAUUCUGUUGAACUAUAUUUGUCUGACUGCAUAACUUUGUUUUCAUCUGCUCAUAUCAACAUUUGAUGACUCAAGUGUCUUUGUCAGGUAAAUGUACCGAUAAAUAAUAAGCUGCAAUGUUUCUGUGUCACCUCAUGUGAAUCAUUUUUUAUGCAUCUGAAGGUUUUUUUUUAAAAAAACAUCAUGUUCUCUGCAUCUGCUUUAAUUAUGAACUAUGAAAGCACUUUGUUUAUGAAGUAUGUCGACUUUUAUCUGUGAACUUAAUUAUAACUUGAAGCAAUCA